AUACAUGCAAGUCGAGACGAACGGAUGAAGGAGCUUGCUCCUUUGAAGUUAGCGGCGGACGGGUGAGUAACACGUGGGUGAACCUACCUAUGAAGACUGGAAUAACUUCGGGAAACCGGAGCUAAUGCCGGAUAACAUUUGGAACCGCAUGGUUCUAAAGUAAAAGAUGGUUUUGCUAUCACUUAUAGAUGGACCCGCGCCGUAUUAGCUAGUUGGUAAGGUAACGGCUUACCAAGGCAACGAUACGUAGCCGACCUGAGAGGGUGAUCGGCCACACUGGAACUGAGACACGGUCCAGACUCCUACGGGAGGCAGCAGUAGGGAAUCUUCCGCAAUGGACGAAAGUCUGACGGAGCAACGCCGCGUGAGUGAUGAAGGUUUUCGGAUCGUAAAACUCUGUUAUUAGGGAAGAACAAAUGUGUAAGUAACUGUGCACAUCUUGACGGUACCUAAUCAGAAAGCCACGGCUAACUACGUGCCAGCAGCCGCGGUAAUACGUAGGUGGCAAGCGUUAUCCGGAAUUAUUGGGCGUAAAGCGCGCGUAGGCGGUUUCUUAAGUCUGAUGUGAAAGCCCACGGCUCAACCGUGGAGGGUCAUUGGAAACUGGGAAACUUGAGUACAGAAGAAGAAAGUGGAAUUCCAUGUGUAGCGGUGAAAUGCGCAGAGAUAUGGAGGAACACCAGUGGCGAAGGCGACUUUUCUGGGUCUGUAACUGACGCUGAUGUGCGAAAGCGUGGGGGAUCAAACAGGAAUAGAUACCCUGGUAAGUCACGCCGUAACGAUGAGUCUAAGUGUAGGGGGGUUCGCCCGUAGUCUCAGC
rnacentral:rRNA from 1 species